GUUGCAGGGUAGGAGGGAAGAGGUGUUACCUUAUCAGCUGCCUCCUCUCCCAUCCUCUCCUUCUGCAGAAGC
rnacentral:pre_miRNA from 1 species